rnacentral:rRNA from 1 species
UACGAAGGGGGCUAGCGUUGCUCGGAAUCACUGGGCGUAAAGCGCACGUAGGCGGCUUUUUAAGUCAGGGGUGAAAUCCUGGAGCUCAACUCCAGAACUGCCUUUGAUACUGGGAGCUCGAGUCCGGGAGAGGUGAGUGGAACUCCGAGUGUAGAGGUGAAAUUCGUAGAUAUUCGGAAGAACACCAGUGGCGAAGGCGGCUCACUGGCC